GACGAACGCUGGCGGCGCGCUUAACACAUGCAAGUCGAACGGAAAGGCCUGCUUUCCCUUGUGGAUUGCGGGUACUCGAGUGGCGAACGGGUGAGUAACACGUGAGUGAUCUGCCCCCAACUUGGGUAUAAGCCUGGGAAACUGGGUCUAAUUCCCGAUAGGACUGCAGGGUGGUGCCUGUGGUGGAAAACGAUUUUCUAGUGGUUGGGGAUGAGCUCGCGGCCUAUCAGCUUGUUGGUGGGGUAAUGGCCUACCAAGGCGGCGACGGGUAGCCGGCCUGGGAGGGUGGACGGCCGCAUUGGGACUGAGAUACGGCCCAGACUCCUACGGGAGGCAGCAGUGGGGAAUAUUGCACAAUGGGCGGAAGCCUGAUGCAGCGACGCCGCGUGGGGGAUGACGGCCUUCGGGUUGUAAACUCCUUUCGACCGCGAGGAAGCCACCUGGUUGGAAGGGUGGUGACGGUAGUGGUAGAAGAAGCACCGGCCAACUACGUG
rnacentral:rRNA from 1 species